rnacentral:snRNA from 1 species
GGAUGUGAGGGCAAUCUGGCUGCAAUAUCUUUCACCCCAUUGAUUUCCAGGGUUGAUUUGGUUGAUCUGGCUGGCUAGGCAGAUGUCUCCUUCUUCCCUCACCACUCCAUGUGUAUCCCUACCAAAGCUGUGCACUCGGUCAAAGAGGACAGCCAUCCCUGAUAGAGAAGGACUGGUCUUCAGUCAAGGGUAUAUCAGUAGCUAUGUCCCCUUCUAGAACCUCCAAAUAAGCUCUCAAGGUCAAUUUGUAGGAGAACAUAGUGUAGUCAAGCUUCCAAGACUCCAGACACAUCCAAAUGAGGUGCUGCAUGUGGCAGUUUGCCUUUCUAA